AGAGUUUGAUCCUGGCUCAGAACGAACGCUGGCGGCGUGUUUAAGACAUGCAAGUCGUACGAGGGACUUUGAUAGCUUGCUAGAGAAGUUCCUAGUGGCGCACGGGUGAGUAACACGUGAGUUACAUGCCCUGCAGUGGGGGAUAGCCCGCCGAAAGGCGGAUUAAUACCCCAUGGUUUCCGCAAGGAUAAAGGUGGCUUCGGCUGCCGCUGCAGGAUUGGCUCGCGUCCUAUCAGCUUGUUGGUGAGGUAACGGCUCACCAAGGCAACGACGGGUACCUGGUUUGAGAGGAUGAUCAGGCACACUGGAACUGAGACACGGUCCAGACACCUACGGGUGGCAGCAGUCGAGAAUAAUUCACAAUGGGCGAAAGCCUGAUGGUGCAACGCCGCGUGGAGGAUGACGGUCUUCGGAUUGUAAACUCCUGUCAUUUGAGAGCAAGACCUGGCGGUGAAUAGCCGACAGGGUUGAUAGUAUCGAAAGAGGAAGGGACGGCUAACUUCGUGCCAGCAGCCGCGGUAAUACGAAGGUCCCGAGCGUUGUUCGGAAUCACUGGGCGUAAAGGGAGCGUAGGCGGCAAGGUAAGUCAGGUGUGAAAUCCCGGGGCUCAACCCCGGAACUGCACCCGAUACUGCUUUGCUAGAGUAAUGGAGGGGUAGCUGGAAUUCUCGGUGUAGCAGUGAAAUGCGUGGAUAUCGAGAGGAACACUUGUGGCGAAGGCGAGCUACUGGACAUUUACUGACGCUGAGGCUCGAAGGCCAGGGUAGCGAAAGGGAUUAGAUACCCCUGUAGUCCUGGCAGUAAACGGUGUGCGCUUGGUGUGAGGGGUUUCGACCCCCCUUGUGCCGGAGCUAACGCGUUAAGCGCACCGCCUGGGGAGUACGGUCGCAAGACUAAAACUCAAAGAAAUUGACGGGGACCCGCACAAGCGGUGGA
rnacentral:rRNA from 1 species